AUGACGUCACAUGUGUAAACCAAUCACAAGCCUAGGAUACGAGUCCGGAUCCGCCAUAGCCCGACUACCCUACAGAAAGAAAUAUCACCGUCCAGGGCCGGAACCAAGGAACGCCUUCCGCCGUCGCCACUCGUGGGUUAGUUGCAACGGAAGAAAAAUUGCGACCAACUCAACAAAAAUAACAACUUGCGACGUUAGUUUACAGGGCAGAUGCAGGUGGAGCAGUCCAGCUGACGUUCAAAAGCUGAUGAACUGACCCACAUCCAGUUUCCCGCACAGACAGACCAGUCUGCGUCAAUGAGCUUAUCCACAGAUCUCCUCGAGUCAAGAAACAGGCAACAGCUGUUCUACACACAUGAUGGAUCCAGCCUUCCUGAAGGAACAAAUAGCAUCAUUAUAAUUUGAUUCCCGGUUACAUGAGCAUAAAGAGUCUAAAAAUCAAUUACCUCUUUGGAAAAUCAUUACCUUUGUACUGAAUCAUAGCCAUCAAAUCAAAUAUCAUUAUCAUUGUCAAUAACCCCUAUAGAACAUGCAUACUAUUUCAGUCAUGCUCAAGUUAAAACAUGGACAACCUGUAUCAAUAUUUUACAGAAAAAGCCAGAAAAAAAUUAUAAGGUUUUCUCAUAAUGUAGAUACUGAUCUGCAUAUUAAA
rnacentral:lncRNA from 1 species